UAAAAACUAUUAAUAUUUUAAAGCCAAAAACACAAACACCACAUGUAAGUGGAAAGACUUAGCAUUUCUAUGAUAACAAAAUAUUGUUAUCAGUUACAAAGGAAACAAUAUUUAAAUCAGUACACAGAAGCAUACCAUCAUACCAUCACACCACAGUUGACGUCAGAUAGCAGUCAUUGUGAAACUCGCCCUUUGCGCUUCUUGCAUAAAUGAGAUUUACAAGCAAAUUCUGGUCCUGUCUUAACACAAUAUUUUUCUUAAACAACGUCAAUCCAAACCCAUCAGUUCCCUUUUUUUACCUCCCCAUUACCUCUGUCUAACCUUAAAUGGUGGGUAAACCAAACCACAUAAGAAGUGACUAUAACCAAGAGACAAUCUCCUUACUUCCACUUUAAGAGACGGGAAUCUUUAACUUGUCGUAAUUUAUCAAGUAUAAAUAUAGUAAAAGACAAGUAUACAUAAAAAAGUGUAUUUUAAAAUAUAAUGAGAAUUGUUUCGAGUUUUUGCCAGGUAUCUCAGUACAAGCACAGCUUUCUGUAUGUUCAUUAUAGAUUGCAACAUAUUCAAAUAAUUUAACAGUAUUUGCCUGGUUCUUUUUAUUCACCCGGAAGUAAAAGAGGGCAAAAUAAUACAGGCACAGCAUGUAAAUAAAAAUGCGGAUGCAAUCCUUUCUUAAUGAAUUUAGUUUGUGUGUGAAGUGGAUAACUAUAAAUAUAGACUAGAAGAAAUAUGGGAAAAAAACAAGCCGAAAAACUACGCUGUAAAGAAUGAAUGAAUGAGUCAUGUUAAAUGUCUUUGACUUAAAAUAAAAAAUAAAAUAAAUACAUGUGAGGACAACCUUUGAGAAGAAAAUUCUAGUUAUUAUAUUUACAGUUCAGGGACGUUUAACAGAGAGUUUAUUUUCUUACGACUUAACUUGGGAUCUCAUACACUGAAAUAAGAGUAUGUGCCUUAGUAGAUUUUAUGAAUAUAAAUGAUAAAAAUAUACUUAAUAUAAUUAUGUUCCUGUCUUUAACAAAAACAACAUUACUCAUUGCAUGAAAUGUAAUUUUCAUGAUAUCAAGUUAUGUACUCUUUAAGUAAAUCCAUGUGGUCAGGAAGACGUGACGGGAGCCGUGAGGCAGGGCAUAUCUCACAGAGGAGAUUGGUUGUGGGGAUUCAUCUGCUGGAGCUGUGUGGGUCCGGUUUGGCCUUGUUUUGUGGUCGAUGUCGGACAACAGAGGAAUAAAGCUACAACAUGCCAUUACUAUUUUCCCUGGUUGUUCCUCUGUUUUCUGGUGUCGAUCGUGGAGUGGGACCUGGUUGAACCUGCACGAUUUUCGGUGAGUGGGACUUUCUGGGUUGCAUAUGGUAUGCUCUCCCUCUUCCUCUAGUAUAUUUGCUUGGUGGCUUUUGGUGGGGGUCACUGAGUGCAGCUACGAUACGUCAGAGGGGGUCUGGCCCUCCCGGCUGAGCCUGGUUUCUCCUGAGUUUUUUUUAUCCAUUAAUCAAUCAUUGAAGUUUGGGUUCCUCGUCACAGCAGGGUAGUGUUGGCUUGCUCACCGGGAGACUGCAUCUAUUUAUUUAUUUAUUAAUUAGAUAUUAAGUAGAAUGAUCUUGCUUGUUCUAUAAACACCAUGCACUGUGCUGUGUUUUACCAUUUUUGUUUUUUUUCUGUUUGCCCCUAUAAAGCUGUUUUGGAACAAUGCACAUUGUGAAAAUUGCUAUAUAAAUAAAUAAAAUAAACUUGAGCAUAAGAGGACGAGCGACGGGACUGCUGACGAGAGAGGACAAGGCCUGGAUUUUAGUUGUGGUUUGUUUUAUUUGCCGGCAGUCGUCCGUGAGGGCCUGCUGGCUGUCUUUUUACUUUGUUUGUAUGUAUGUUCUUUUGGCCUAUAGUCGACCAAGAGGUAUUUUACUUCCUGUAUUUGUUUGUUUAUUUUAUUAAAACAUUAUUUAAAUGUUCGCCGGUUCCGUCUCCUGCCUUCCUUUUAUUGAACCUUAUUACAAUCCAACUCAAUUUUAGUACGGCAAACACAUUUAAAUUGGUCAAAUUAAGUUUAAUUACUUACUUUGUGUUGAGACUACAUGAAUAUUUUUUGUAGAUAUACUCUAACUACCUUGGCAGUUGAUCUGUAGUUCCAGCAUUGCUCUGUAUCUGACUGAUGUAGCGAUUUUAGCUGCAUGUUAAAAUAAGGAUGAGUUUAACUCGCCAAAUAUGAUUCUCCAACAGAUCUAUCAAGAUCGCAUCUAUGAAAUGAGUUAUUUAAAACGUCAAUUUCAGUCAAGGAAUUAGUUUAGCUCAAAGGAAAAUAUGUAUAAUAAUCGUCAUUACACAUACAUAUUUUACAAUUUCUGAUUAGAGGUGUAGUGAUAAAAAUCCUAUAUGUAUUCGUCCAGCAAAUGCAUCAAUGAUUUUAUACACUAAUGUUAUCUCAUGACCAUAAGUAACGUGACCUUACCAAACAGAAUUAAGAGCAGAGGUAGCAUAGAUCGAAACACAGUUUAAGUGACCAGUUUGUGAGCGUGAGCACAGAAAACCCAUCACAAAAAAUGCCUUUAUGGUUUUUUUAAUAAACUCUACUCUACAUGGUAAACAUAAUGACAAUCGGUUAAAUACAAAUAAAUACAUGAAACACAACGCACUAGGAAGUGCAGAGAGAGAGAGUGAGUGAGAGGGCAUGUAAAACAUGUCUGAAAACCAAUAAAAUCAUUGUAACAAAGUUUGCUUAGAAGGAAGAAAGGAGGCGGGGUUGGCGUGGCUGGGAAACAUAAGAUUCUUCUUUUAUUUUCAAAGACUUCAUGGUUUCAACUUCCCAUCAACUAAACAUUCAAACAACUCUUUUCAGUUGACGAUUCUUUCUUGUAAUCCUGGACGCAACGUCUUGUUGGAGCCGCACACAUCCGUUUCCCAGCCGGUCUCUCUCUCCUCUUCCGUCUCCUCCGUUGAGCUUUAAAGCGUCUACUUGCCAAGUACUAGAAUGAGAAGCCGGUGUUUUCAAUAAGCUGUUGAUCUGCUUACUCACUGUUCUUCUCCCGUGUCUCCCUCUCGGCGCAGACUGCGCUGAACCACGCCCCCCUUGCCACAAUCAUCUUUAACAAAGAGGCAUGCUCUUAACGCAGCUAUUCUAUAUAUAUAAUCGGAUACUUGCUAUCUCGGUGCAAUAUCCGUAUGCGCGUGGAUGGAAAUCUUGAAUGGUUUCAGAAUGCAGUCCUCUUGAAAUGGUGAGUUUAGGUUCCGAGUCCGAAGUUCCAUGGCCUUAUCGGACUCCCCAGAGGGCAGCCGUUAGCCCUUGGAUUGUCCUCCGUGUUCUCUUUCUUUUUCCUCCAAUUCCCAAAUUUCCCCGAAGUGGAUCGGUGAUGGUGUUUUUAAAUGCAUACCUGCCCUGCCCCCAGGUGGCCUGCGGGCCAAUGCCAAGAAAGUGAUAAGUGGGCCAGAGAAAUUUCCUUUGUUUCUCAUGGCGCCUCAUUUGCAUAGCUCUUACAGUAUGGUCAGUUUGCAUUUAAUACUGAAACUUAGUUAUGGACAUAGUAUGGUGCAUGCUAUGUUUUUAUAACAUAGCUCAUCAUAUAGUGAAUGAAGAGAGAAGUAGUUACAUAGGAAACAUGCUAAGCUUUGAGCUGUGAAUCAUCCCAACGUAUGAAUACAUCGAAGUAACCCUAAAUCAAAACUUGUAUAUCUAACCGUUACAGGCUAUUGGAAAUGGCACGAGUGCCAACACACAACCUAGACAUUUAGAUACAUUUAAAGAAAAGGAUAGUUUAAAUCACAUAAGUUGCUAUUUGUUAGAGAAGUUUCUCUUGUUAGCCUCACAUGUUAAGUUAUAGAUGAGACAGAGACUUCUCACCAAUGCGUUGAAGCUUAGGAGUCGUAAAUAUCCUACAGAGAAACCAAAGAGUUAUCACACUCUCGGUGGGAGUUCAAAACCUAAAACCAGACCCCUGGAGCCAGGUUUUGCUAUGUUUUUUUGAUGAUGGUUUCUAGAAACCAGGACAAAAGGGAGUGAGGGAGUUUAUGGCUUCCCUUUCAAUGAUCCAGUCACUACAUCCCGCCUUAUGGAAGUGCGAAUGUAAACUUCAGCUGACGAUGGAUAGUUGGAUCAUGAUAGCGGGGUCCCUGGAGGUUCCUAUUGGUCCACAGCAUCUCAACAUACAGGCUGAGAAUGCUCCCGAGUGCUCCGGCAAUCUUUCAACUUAGGUACCUGUCAUCUUUUCCAUCCUGCUUAGACGUCAAGGGAGAGAACCCCUGCACCUGUUGGUUAGGGUGUUUCCAGUCUCCACAAAGUCUCUAGUCUCUAGCUAACCUAGCUCACGUGGCAAGGCAAAGUUAUGAAACCAAAUCUUGUUCCUCUUGUGAAUUUUGCAGGGUGCAGCAUGCUUUCUGGCCAUCACAAUCGCAGUGAUUGCUGGGCAAAGGCAGGUGUCACACUCCGGUGUCUUUCAUUGAAGUACUGGUGAGCGGUGUAGGGCGUGACAAGGUUGAGGUCUCUUGGCUGGCCCUCGCGAUGUUGUGGUGGUGCCAUCUGACCUCAGGCUGUGAUAAGUGCCAUAUUCUGCUGGUGCUUGGCUACCCCCCUUUCGGUCUGGUCACACUGUCAGUGUAGACAAGUUUUAAGGCAGUGUUCGGCAAGUCCAGCUUUCAAAUGGAUCUCCGUUCAGCAAGGGUAAAUCAUUUUUACAACCAUUUGGUGUGUACAUGGCACCGUCUUGAGCGCUGAUUUACAUGAGUAGGCCGUUCUUUUUAACAGUUCAUGAACCUUGUAGGUGGUGUUCUGUGUAGCCCAGGAUGCAGCUAGCUUGGGAUGUAAUGUCAUGUGGUUUUGUGAGUGGGGCCACAUAGUUGACAUUAGUUCUGCAUAAUUUGCGAGAACCAGGAAGUAGCAGGUUCAGCAUUGGUUAUUCCCUUUCAAGUUCAAGGCACAGGUGUCCUGGGCCGUUGCCGUUCUUGACAUGCAUGAGUCGAAUGGAAACUUGACAGAAGUGGAAAUGUCUGAUGCCGGUGUUGUUGUAGAGAGUGUGUGAACAGUGUAAACAUGAAGACUGAUAUAUCUGCCCAUAGUUCCUGUAGGGUGCCUGCUAUCAUCAUGUCACUUGGUGAUGUGCCUCUGGAAUGUAAGGGCGGGAAACGUUUGGGUCAUCGGCUGGUUCGACCUUGAGACUGAGCUCUCGCGACCAGCUGUGAUGUCAUGCCUCACUUUUGUGACUUGGCAAUGCAUUACAGACGAGUAGGCUGGCUGGAAAGUGGAAGCUUUUUUGUAAUUGUAAUGCUUAAAGUCUCUUAGAGGCUCAAAUUCAGUUCCGCAGGUCUUUCCUGGUGAAGCGAGGGCAUGUAUCCAUCUGUACAUGCUUGUGGAGCUGAUCAGGUGUGUGGGAACUUCUUGUUUCAGUCAUACUUCAGUUGAUGGCAACGUGUGUGUGUCUCGGCUUGUUCUGGGUAGUCAGCCGUCUGCUGAGAUGCGGUCGGGAUGUUCAUCUUGUGUUAGGAUGACUGUCUCUGUGGUCUACCAGCAGGUUGCAGAGAUCUGGGCGUUUUUCUCAGUAGGAGGGCAUUCAACAGGGUUGUUUGUUUCAUUCCCACUCGUGGUCAAAAAGAGUCUGAUUUGGAUUUUCAAAUCCUCCUGUCCUCCUGUUUCUUGUGGAAUCAGCUCAUUUGAUGUCCCAAGGAUCUCUGCUGUCUCAGACGUAGUUGCACUGUUCUUUUGCUCUCUGGACAGGUGUCAUCCAUAGUGUUGAGAUGAAUUCCUUGAUGACUGUUGGGCCGGUACUGGGGAGUGGCUCCUAGGUUGCCAGCUGUGUUUCCACGGGGCACUUUCUUUCGAGUCCAACAUAAGUGGUCAGCUCCAUGUUGUCUCAGGUCAUCCUGUCUGGUGCUUGGCUGUUCCCGGCAGGCUGUAAUAUCUGAUGAGUCUCUGCUGAAGAUCUGCUAUUGUGGCGCACCCACCAUAGUCAGUUAUUUGUGAUGUGCAGAGAUAGGCAGGAUUUACAGUUUUUAUGGAGGCAGCGCUAUGUUCUCUAUGGGCCUUAUGGGCUGAGUUCCGCAGAUAUCAGGUGAUCGUGGAGUAAAAAGGCUGUAGUGCUUAGGUUAUGAUUCAAAGUGUGAUAUGGAUUUCUUAGGGAGAAUAGUUUUGCUUUGAAGCCUUCUUCCCUUUCGGCCUGUUCUGUCGUCUGAUGUAGGCUCGGAUGCUGGCAGUAGCAGAUGUGUUGUAGCUGCUGGAAUCCGCUUUGACAGUUUCUGACUGCUGGCAUAGGAUGUUGUGCGGCUUUUUUCACCUGAAAAUCUGCCAGGACCUUCCGCGGUAAUCUAAAUAUCAGUUUAGAAGAUGGACGUGCUCAAAAGUGUGGCUUCAUUUUGUGAAGACCGAAGACAAAGCUAAGUGUAAUUAUUGUAAUAAACGAAUAUGUUGCAAGAAAGGCGUCAUGACCAACGUGCCUAAGCAUCUGCGGUUGGUUUACCGUGUCGAAUUAAAAGAAUGCACCAUGUUUGAUUCAAUGCACAGACCAAGUGCCGAUUGCCCAUUAGCCGGCACUAGUACGGCGACAUCGCCACAAAAUGUUGCUGUCACUGUUGAUAAUGCUGCCAACAUGGAUGUGGCAAUAUAAAAAGGUUCAUAAAGCAAUUGCACAAUUCAUAAAGCUAGGUUGCUUUUCCCAUACACUUAAUCUUGGAGCUCAGAGUGCCCAUUCAGUGGCAUCAGUGGCAAAUUGGACGGCAAAGAUCCGGAACGUUGUUAUUUGGAUGAAGAGGUCAUCUAUGGCAAAGACUGUACUCCGGGAAAAACCUAAGUAAGAGUUCCUCUCUUUACCAGCACUGUUAUUAUUAUAAAAAAUUAUAUAGUAUGUAAAGAGAAUUUUAUGAAGUUUAACAUUUGUUUAAAAAAGUCUACUUGAUAGAACAGUUCCUGGAGCAGUACCAUGCUAUUCAGGCAGCCAGCUUGGAUCAGCGUAUGAGGAAGCCAAUAGAUAGAGACCGGUAAGUAAAAAGAGUUUGCAUAGUUCUUUGCUAUGAGUGAUAUGAUUAUAAAGGUGAAAACUUUCCUAAGCUGCUUUGUCAUGUAACAUAAAAAAAUGUUGUCUUUAUAAAACAGACUUGCUCGGCUGACUGAAGAAGAUUUCAGAAAGGGAGAAGACUUUGUACAUCUGAUGAGAAUUUUAUACACAUCUACACUCUGUGUUUCUUCUGAAAAGAGCCCUAAAUGUGGUCAGGUCCUACUAAUUCUUCAAAAGCUUGUGAAACACUUCCCAGUUGUAGAGGACGACACAGUGUUUGUGUCCAGCAUUAAGCAGGCUGUCUGGCAAAACCUGUCUAAGCGAUACCAGAGGGAUGACAUCAGAAGCUUUCUUGAGGAGUUGAAGACAGCAGUUGAAGACAGCAGUCUGGAUCCGCAUACUAGAAAAGCUUAUGGCAGCAAAUCUAAUCUGAGUCUACACAGCCAAAAGUGGAUUGUGAAGAAGGGACUACAAUGCAGUCAAAUGAGGAGAGGAGAGAAGAAAACAAAGAAAUAAUGACAUCACAGACAGAGGGGAAACCACCUCCCUGCAAAAGAGCCAUAAUAUCCCCAUUGGGGGAGCUAUUUGCAGCAGAUGAUGAAUUGAAAAUGAAAUCCACAGAGAGCUCAACAUUGUCCUUUGACAACAAAGUGGAUGCAGAGAUAAAGAUGUACCAAGACAUUCCACCUACAAUGACAUUUGACGACCCUGCUGCCUGGUGGUGGAAACAGAAAAACGCAUAUCCUUUCCUGUCAGAUCUUGCCUCUUCAUAUUUAUGUGUGCAGGCCUCUUCAACCCCAAGUGAAAGGAUUUUUUCCACUGCUGGAGACACUAUUUGCCCAGAAAGAUCUCGUAUACUCCCGGAAAAGGCUGAUAUGUUGAUUUUUCUGAAUAAAAAUUGUUAAGCACUGGUGAAAACUGUAUGAAAAACUAAUGGCACAGAAAAUAAACAUGUUUGAUAUAUAAAUGUUUGGCUUUUGCUAUUUUUAAAAAAAAUUACAUUGGAAUCGAAACUGGGGAUCGAAAAGAAUCGUAAUCGACAAGCAGAAUCGGAAUCGAUAAAACACAAACGAUACCCAACCCUAGUCAUAAUUCUGUUUCCAUCAUGAAUUUCUUGUGGCAGAGUCAUGGCAGAGAGAAACAUAUUAUUGUCGGUCAAGACAUAAUAUGCAUUCUCUCCGGUCUCGUAUUUGGCCCCGCCCCUCGUUUAGCUUUCCACCUGUGUCUCAUUACCCACACCUGCCCAUUGUUAUCUUCCCUUGUUAGUUCCCCUUUAUAAUCCCCUCAUGUCUAUUGGCCUGUGCUCUUCGUUUGCGUGUUUGCUCAUUGCUUUGUCUCUUGCCUUGUUCCUGUUUCCUGUGACCGUCAAGUUUGUGGAUAUAUUAUUUAUAUUAUUCAUAUUAUUAUUGGACCUUGUUUAUCUUGCCCCCUCGCGGGAAGUUUUUGUUUGAAUUCUUGUUUUGUUAUAGUUUUGCCCAUAGUGGGUGUUUUGUGUUUAAUAAAUUAUUAUUGUAACCCCUUCAUCGCUGCCUCUACUUGGGUUCUCUCACACAAUCCCUGAAACCAAGAACUCUUAGGUUACAAGCAUUCGUCCAAAUAUCUUUCUUUGUGUUUAACCAAACAAAGAAAUUUAUACAGGUAUGUAAGAGUCCAAAAUUUGUGUCCAAAAUUUUUGCAUGUUGAAAAAUAAAUACAACCUCUAGUUGUGUCAAUCACAUUUACACACUGCCACCGUCAUUUUAAUCUUUCAUAAAAAAAUCGUACUGGGUUUGAUUAAGUAACAAGCAUUUGAGAGGUGUUUUGACAAUUCAGGGACAUUUUACAAACGAGCUGUUCAGGGUCUACGUCGGUCCAUUCGUGAAUCUGAAAUAGAGUUUCAGGGGAGAAAUAACAAAACAGUUGGCGGCAAAUGGGUGUGAAAAACGGGAGAUCUGACAGGUAUGCUAGAAAAUGCAGGCAGAGAGAGAGAGAACUGCCUACCUAGCAAGCCGCUACUGUCUACGAUGUAAGGAGAGAUAACGAGAGAGUCAGAGGGAACGCAGGGUCAGGCUGUAUUGUUUUACCUUUUUUUGGAAACAAAUGAAUUCAUACGUAUCAGACUCUGAGCAUAUUCAGACUAAUUGAUGGUGAAUCCUUGUUAUCUAUUUGCUUGAGAUAAGUCGUCCAUAUUUUGGAGCUUGUCUUUUAAAAACUGUACAGUCCCUCACAGGAGCAGCCAGUCUUAACUUUGAUAUGCAACCAAAAAGCUACUUGAAAAUAUGGUUAGGAAAAUGGGCAUCUGAUUCUUCUCCAUUAAGACUGUGGAGGUGGAAUGUGCGUAAUUCAAGCCUUGAUCUCUGGCUAAGUGCUAUUUGUGCACGUCAUUGUCUGAUUAAUUCAUCACAAGUGAUAGGCGGAUAAUUUAGGCUAAUGGCCUGUCUCUUAACACUUUAUAUGGUCUGGUAACAGGCAAAGCAGCAUGUAUCAGGGCAGUUCUUAGAUGGUGAUUGUCGGGGAGCAUUGGUGUGGGGAAAGGGGGGGGUCUCCAUCUGUGUCACCCAUCUGUGGAUGAAGCUUGUUCAUCUCCAUGAUGAGGGUACAGGUUGUCUUUGAUCAGGGGGACCAUACAAGAUGGUAAUGAUACAGUAUCUGAGACACAGUUGGUUGUGUCUUUUUUCCAAGGGUGGUGGUUUACAGUCACCAAUUAUUCCUAGUCAGUGCACAAUUUUUUAGGACAUGGGAAUAAGAUACAUAC